UUCUUCUUUAUUCUUUCUUCUUUCUAUUUUCUUUUCUCUCUUUCUUCUUCUUCUUCUUUUCUCUGGCGAUUCAGAGAUGAAAUCUCUGUUAAGGAACUUCACUAAAAUUUAGUAGAACCAAUCAAUCGAGUGUGGUGUUGAUGAGUUAAUAGUUUGGGUUUGGUUAGAAACUUCGAUUGAGUUGAGGAGAAGUGAUUCUGUGAAGAAAUUAGGGUUCAUGAAAUCAAUUUCGGGAUUCAGUUAAGGGUGAAGAAGAAAGAAUCAAAGGAUGGGUUUGAUAAAUUGGAAGGUUUGAUUGGUAUUUUGAGGUUGAAUUAGAGAAUAGAAUCUCUGAGACUUGAAUUAGGGUUUGAGUUGGAAAUUCAGAUGAAGAACUAGAAGAUGAAUUUGAAGGUUUCAGUGACGAACUAAAGAUAGGUUUUGAUUGAAUUGAAGUUUUGAAGUUGAUUCACUAUCAGUGAAUCAUGGUUGGUGUUCUGUUCUUCCCCAAUUUAUGAGUUUGGGUUGAUGAUGAAGUAAUUGAGUGAAAUAACAAGAGAUGAAAGGUUGGGUUUUACUGAUAUGAUGUGAAGAUGAAGGUUAUGAAGCUGAUGAAGAACUAGGGUUUGGUUCUGCCAUUAAGAAGGUAAUUGUUCUGUGGGUAAAUCUGUUCAAGUUCUUUAUUAAGUUUAUAAGUUUCUUAAUGAAUUAUGAAUUAAAAUGGUUAUGAGAUAGAUAUGUAGUUGAGCUGAAUUCCAAAUGAUGGAGUUAUAGUGAGAUUGUAGAUUUGGUUAUGGAUUUUGCUAAGUGGAUGUCUGUAUGAUAAUCUGUAUGGAAUUCUUAUGGACAUAGCAGGGGGAUGAGUGUAGUAAGUUAGUUUUACAGAGAAGGUGAUUUUAGUAAGUAUCAGUUGCAGAUUCUGGUGGUGCUGAAUAAAUUCAGGGUAAGUUCAUUCAUUUGAACUCAGUUGAGAUGGAUUGUUGUAUCUGUAGUGCUAUGAAUUGUUGGAGAUUGAAGUUUACUAUGAUUAAGCCAGGUGUAUGGAUGUGCAGUCGAGUUUGUCUAACUGACAAUGAUGAUUGAGUUAUUGAAGUCUAAGUGUGCUAGAAUUGGAGUUGUUAUGGUUCAGAUGAAUGAGUGAUUGCAAGUAAUGGGAUUGGGGUAAGAAUUUAUUAAAUAGAGGCCUGGAUUGUCUAAAGUUGUAUUUUAAAGUGAUGUGUGGGUAUAUGAAUUGAAUUAUGAAGUUGGAUUGGAAACAGAACUGGAGAUGAGUUAUUGGUGGUGUUGGCUGUGUUGUUGAAUUUUCAGGUGGAGUUGUAAUAUGGAGAUUUGAAGCGUUAGAACUGAAGCUAUAGUUGUAAUUUGGUUGUACCUAGAAUCACAGUUGGAUAGUCUCUUUGAAAGCCUGUUGCUACUGCAUUGCAGUGGAUCGUGGAUCUCGAGGUAAGCGUGGCUUUUCAUCAAAAGAGGUGGGAAUACUUUUAAUUCUUUUGAAACCAUUGUUGUUUUCUUUUACAAAAGUUUAUGUUUAACAAAUUCAGGCAUUAUCUGAUUAUGCUUUGUUUUCUUUAAAUUUCGAAAGUAUAUAGAAUACGCUCAUUCAUUUUGGUGUGUAAGGAAUUGUUCGAAACCAACAUUGAUGUGUAAGGAAUUUGUCAACAUCCAUGCAUAAUAUUGGAUGUGUAAGGAAUUGGUUGACAUCCAAUAUAUUUCAUUGUCAAUGUAUACAAUUGGAUGUGUAAGGAAUUGGUCGACAUCCAAUAAUACAUUGUUUUGUCGAAGGAGUUAGUUCCAUAUACUAUGAUUGUUUGUUUUCUGUAUUUUGGAUGCCAUUUAGUGUUUUGGGAAAAACAUGAUUUGUUAUUGGAUGUGUAAGGAAUUGGUCGAUAUCCAAUAGACUUCAUUAUCAAUGUAUAAUAUGGGAUGUGUAAGGAAUUGGUCGA